rnacentral:tRNA from 1 species
UGGCUUAGUUGGCUAAGGCGCCGGACUAGCGAUACGGAGUCGUGGGUUCGAAUCCCAC